AACGAACGCUGGCGGCAUGCCUAACACAUGCAAGUCGAACGAGACCUUCGGGUCUAGUGGCGCACGGGUUCGUAACGCGUCGGAACCUGCCCUUAGGUUCGGAAUAACUCCCCGACAGGGGUGCUAAUACCGGAUAAUGUCUUAUGCCCAAAGAUUUAUCGCCUUUGGAUGGGCCCGCGUUGGAUUCGCUCGUUGGUAGGGUAAAAGCCUACCAAGGCGACGAUUCAUAGCUGGGCUGAGAGGAUGAUCAGCCACACUGGGACUGAGACACGGCCCAGACUCCUACGGGAGGCAGCAGUGGGGAAUAUUGGACAAUGGGCGGAAGCCUGAUGCAGCAAGGCCGCGUGAGUGAUGAAGGCCUUAGGGUUGUAAAGCUCUUUUACCCGGGAUGAUAAUGACAGUACCGGGAGAAUAAGCUCCGGCUAACUCCGUG
rnacentral:rRNA from 1 species